rnacentral:rRNA from 1 species
AUACCGUAUAACAAUCAAAACCGCAUGGUUUUGAUUUGAAAGGCGCUUUCGGGUGUCGCUGAUGGAUGGACCCGCGGUGCAUUAGCUAGUUGGUGAGGUAACGGCUCACCAAGGCCACGAUGCAUAGCCGACCUGAGAGGGUGAUCGGCCACAUUGGGACUGAGACACGGCCCAAACUCCUACGGGAGGCAGCAGUAGGGAAUCUUCGGCAAUGGACGAAAGUCUGACCGAGCAACGCCGCGUGAGUGAAGAAGGUUUUCGGAUCGUAAAACUCUGUUGUUAGAGAAGAACAAGGAUGAGAGUAACUGUUCAUCCCUUGACGGUAUCUAACCAGAAAGCCACGGCUAACUACGUGCCAGCAGCCGCGGUAAUACGUAGGUGGCAAGCGUUGUCCGGAUUUAUUGGGCGUAAAGCGAGCGCAGGCGGUUUCUUAAGUCUGAUGUGAAAGCCCCCGGCUCAACCGGGGAGGGUCAUUGGAAACUGGGAGACUUGAGUGCA